rnacentral:rRNA from 1 species
GAGAAUGCCGGUGUGAGUAGCGAAAGACGGGUGAGAAUCCCGUCCACCGAUUGACUAAGGUUUCCAGAGGAAGGCUCGUCCGCUCUGGGUUAGUCGGGUCCUAAGCUGAGGCCGACAGGCGUAGGCGAUGGAUAACAGGUUGAUAUUCCUGUACCACCUAUAAUCGUUUUAAUCGAUGGGGGGACGCAGUAGGAUAGGCGAAGCGUGCGAUUGGAUUGCACGUCUAAGCAGUAAGGCUGAGUAUUAGGCAAAUCCGGUACUCGUUAAGGCUGAGCUGUGAUGGGGAGAAGACAUUGUGUCUUCGAGUCGUUGAUUUCACACUGCCGAGAAAAGCCUCUAGAUAGAAAAUAGGUGCCCGUACCGCAAACCGACACAGGUAGUCAAGAUGAGAAUUCUAAGGUGAGCGAGCGAACUCUCGUUAAGGAACUCGGCAAAAUGACCCCGUAACUUCGGGAGAAGGGGUGCUCUUUAGGGUUAACGCCCAGAAGAGCCGCAGUGAAUAGGCCCAAGCGACUGUUUAUCAAAAACACAGGUCUCUGCUAAACCGUAAGGUGAUGUAUAGGGGCUGACGCCUGCCCG